UUGCACAGUGAACACCAAGUGUGCUUUACAGUUCCCGUGGCUUUGACUCUAUGCUAGAGCAAUGUCCGUUGUUUCCCUCUGCAUGGAAAGGAGCAUUUAUCCUUUUAAAUGUUUUCAGAAAGCCAGCACAUUU
rnacentral:snoRNA from 1 species